GACAGAGGGGGCCAGCGUUGUCCGGAGUUACUGGGCGUAAAGCGCACGCAGGCGGCGGCUUAAGUGUCGUGUGAAAGCUCCCGGCUCAACCGGGAGAGGCCAUGGCAGACUGGGUCGCUGGAGCGCCGGAGAGGUCUCUCGAAUUGCUGGUGUAGUGGUGAAAUGCGUAGAGAUCAGCAGGAAGACCAAGGGGGAAGCCAGGAGACUGGCCGGCAGCUGACGCUGAGGUGCGAUGGCGUGGGGAGCAAACCGG
rnacentral:rRNA from 1 species